AUCAGUUAAAAGUCUUGGGAUAUUUGGGGUUAAAUGUCCUUGGGUUUGAGUAGUACUGGGCUGGGUGACCUCCCGAGAAAUUCAAACUUAAAAGUUU
rnacentral:rRNA from 1 species